AACGUAGGUGGCGAGCGUUAUCCGGAUUUACUGGGCGUAAAGCGUGUGCAGGCGGGGGAACAAGGGGUGUAUGAAAUGGCUCGGCUAAACCGGGCAGCGGUAUGCCAGACUGUUUUCCUGGAGUGCGAGAGAGGGGCGUGGAAUUCAUGGUGUAGCAGUGAAAUGCGUAGAGAUCAUGAGGAAGACCAGUGGCGAAGGCGGGUCUCUGGACAGUUCCUGACACUGAGGCACGAAGGCCAGGGGAGCAAACGGG
rnacentral:rRNA from 1 species